CAUGCAAGUCGAGCGGCAGCGGGAAAGUAGCUUGCUACUUUUGCCGGCGAGCGGCGGACGGGUGAGUAAUGCCUGGGAAAUUGCCCAGUCGAGGGGGAUAACAGUUGGAAACGACUGCUAAUACCGCAUACGCCCUACGGGGGAAAGCAGGGGACCUUCGGGCCUUGCGCGAUUGGAUAUGCCCAGGUGGGAUUAGCUAGUUGGUGAGGUAAUGGCUCACCAAGGCGACGAUCCCUAGCUGGUCUGAGAGGAUGAUCAGCCACACUGGAACUGAGACACGGUCCAGACUCCUACGGGAGGCAGCAGUGGGGAAUAUUGCACAAUGGGGGAAACCCUGGUGCAGCCAUGCCGCGUGUGUGAAGAAGGCCUUCGGGUUGUAAAGCACUUUCAGCGAGGAGGAAAGGUUGGCCCCUAAUACGUGU
rnacentral:rRNA from 1 species